GAAGACAGAUCAUGCCUCUCCAAGACCCUCAGAUCCCCUUCAUCCUCUGCAAGUACCUCUGCUGAUGGAGAUGCUUACUCAUAGGGAUAUCCAGAUGUUACAUGUCCAUAAAGGGUCUGAGCACCUGGUUACCUUGCCCUAGAAAGGCACCUGUCCAACUCCUCUUCUCCUCCCCAAGAUGUACAGAUUUGAGCUGAAAGUAAGGAAUUUGUGCUCAAGAGUUUACAGUGAUGACUGCUCAAGGAAUGCUCCUCAAAAUCUUAAGCAAUUCUGAGUCACCAACUCAUAAGAAAACAGAACUGUGCCAAGAUUACAACCAGGUGAAUUGCAUUUCUCUAUGUCUCCAACAACUGGAGGUAUAGUGGAUAGUGUCCUGUGUCAUCCAAGAAGAGACCACAGAGCCUGCAGAACUGAUACAGAGGAGAAGGCCAUGUGAAGACAGAGGCGGACUGGAGUGAUGCUGCCACAAGCCAAGGAACACCUGGAGUCACUAGUAGCUGGAAGAGGUCACACCCAAGGCACCACUGGGGUCUCUUCUGACCAGAUGAUGAAAUGGGAGAAAAAGGAUGUCAAUCCUUUGAAGAGUUCCAGCCGGCCUAAACUGCUCCACAAGAUGGCAUGGAGGAGACAAUGUCUACCAAAGCAACAAGUAAUGUGCUCAUGAGAGGGGUAUCAGCAUCGUUAAGAAGUUCAGUGGUGGCUGCCCUCUGUAAGCCAGAACUGACACUAGGAGAUGCCAUUACAGAACUGGAACUGCUGAGAGAAAAGCUGACAAUCAGAUUCUGAAACAGUAGAGGCAGGUGAUGAUGCAAACCAUCAGAAGCCAAGUGAUACAAUUAUUAUAAUCAGAAGAGUGGUCAGAGUGGCAGCCAGAGGGUUGCAAUCUGGCUCGAAGAGAUCUGAACCAUGAGAACAUUUUGUGGAAUGUAACAUGGGUCCACUAUAUAGAUGACAUCAUGGUAAUCUGGCUAGAUGAGCAAAAAGUGGCUGACACUUUGGAGGCCUUCUUAAGGCACAUGUAUAUGGGUAAGGGUAAGAAAGAAUCUCUGAUGAUUUGCAGGUCCACUGCAUCAAUGAAAUGUUUAGGGCUUCAGGGGUAUUGGGUAUUCCAGCAUGCCCACUUCCCCUACAUUCUAUAUUCCUUCCUCUACCCUCUAGCUGGGCAACUCAGGCUUUUCCCACUUCACUGGGUGCUGCCCACCAUCUUUUCUAGGCUUCUAGUUGCAAUCUUAGCAGCGAGUUUGCUCCAUGCCCUGGGGUCCUUGCCAAUGUCUUAAAUUCAAUGUCUUGAGAAAGUGCCCUGAAAUCAAUGAGUUUUUCAUUUUACAGGCUUGUAUUUUAGCCCCCCUUGAUUAGGCACCCUCAAAAUCCAAACCGAAGUGUACUCCCCUGAUUCUUCAUGGCACAUGCUAGUUAAUUCUUGCAACAGCUGUAGAGUUUUCCCUUCACUUAUCAGUCCCAGCACCUCCUCAGCUGGGUUAUGCUGAGAUUUAACUCUAGUUAUCAGCCUAGAAUCCAGGAAAGGAAGUGGCGGUAGCUCUGGGGUACAGUUUAGGGCAGCUGUUGUCUUGUGAAGGAGAGACCUCUGCAGCAUCUUCCAGCAUAGGGAAAAUGCUAGCUCUUCCUAGGGAAAGUGGGUGACCUCUACAAACCCAGAGGGUCUUGUAGAGUCAGCAUCUUCAGAGGCAUCCAUCCAGAUGUCCAGAUUCCAUGUUUUAA
ensembl:lncRNA